GGUAUGCCUAUCAAAAGGGUUAGGCGCACCCGUCGGAUCAGUGAUUGUCGGUUCGAAGGCCUUCAUUGACAAGGCCAGAAUUCUCCGGAAGACCCUAGGCGGUGGAAUGAGACAGGUGGGAGUUCUUUGUGCUGCUGCUCAUGUUGUCGUUCGUGACACUGUGGGAAAGCUUGCGGAUGACCACAGGAAGGCUAAAGCUUUGGCAGAGGGACUGAAGAAAAUCGAGCAGAUUACAGUGGACUUAGCUUCGGUCGAGACCAAUAUGGUAUUCUUUGAGGUCAUGGAU